AACUCAUGAUGAAAGCACCUUCUCAAUAAGUCUUUGUAUCUCUCCCAUGCAUCAUAAAAUUUUUCUAAAUCGAUCUGGGCAAAGGAAGAAAUGUCAUUCAUUAACUU
rfam:Gossypium raimondii chromosome 13, whole genome shotgun sequence.